rnacentral:rRNA from 1 species
GGGUGAGUAACGCGUGGAUAACCUGCCGUAUACUGGGGGAUAACACUUAGAAAUAGGUGCUAAUACCGCAUAAGCGCACAGUCUCGCAUGAGACGGUGUGAAAAACUCCGGUGGUAUACGAUGGAUCCGCGUCUGAUUAGCUUGUUGGCGGGGUAACAGCCCACCAAGGCGACGAUCAGUAGCCGGCCUGAGAGGGUGAACGGCCACAUUGGGACUGAGACACGGCCCAAACUCCUACGGAAGGCAGCAG